rnacentral:rRNA from 1 species
UGGGGAAUCAUGGUCAAUGGGCGAAAGCCUGAACCUGCGACGCCGCGUGAGUGAUGAAGGUCGUAAGAUCGUACAACUCUUUUCAGGGAUCUUAAAGCCUGUCUGUCAACAACAGGCAGGUCUGACUCUCCCUGGAAGAAGCCCCAGCCAACUACGUGCCAGCAGCUGCGGUAAUACGUAGGGGGCGAGCGUUGUUCGGCAUUACUGGGUGUAAAGGGUAUGUAGGCGGCCCUUCACGUCGCGGGUCAAAGUCCAGUGCUCAACGCUGG